rnacentral:misc_RNA from 1 species
AGAGAGAGAGAGAGAGAGAGCAACAGACUUUAUUAUGAAUGAUCACGCUUGAGUCAUCCUCACUGGAAGAGGUGGAUUCGACCAUGGAUGACGUCACCACUUCACCUAAACCAAAACCGAUACUCUCCAAAACCACCAAGAACAAGCGUCUCACCGGCGAAUUCAACAUCGUUGAUAAUGAUGAUGAUGAGACUGAGGAGGAAGACUGCGAUGUGGAAGUUUGGGAUACGCUCAGCAAGAGUUUUAGGCAGGUGCAGGCCGUAUUGGAUCAAAACCGGAACCUGAUUCAGCAAGUGAACGAGAACCACCAGUCCAUGGUACCAGAUAAUCUCACCAAGAACGUUUCCUUGAUUCGCGAGAUUAAUGGAAAUAUCUCCAAGGUCAUCUCCAUCUACUCCGAUUUAUCUCUCAACUUCUCCAAAGUUGUGCAGGAACGGCGUCGCAUUAAGAACGAAAGCAGUGUGGAGAGAUCCGAUUCCUGAAUUUCGAUCGAUGAAUUUUAAGUAAUCUCAACUACCUUUAUUUAUCUUAUUGGUCGAUUAAUAAGCAUUUUGUAUGAGGUCGUGUCAGGGUCUUAUUGGAUUCCCAAGUGUUUGUGGUGUAGUGAGUCGGUGAGUCUUAGUUAUGCUUACUGUGUGGUGUGGUCUCUUUAACUAUGCUAGCGUGUUGCGGUUACGGUGGUUGUGGCGGUGGACGCCAUAACAAUAAUGGUUUGCUUAUGUGGUCUUUGUUCUUAUGUUUGUUUGUGUUUUUUAAGGAUGAUUUCAUGGCUGCGGGGCUGCUUUUAUCUCCAUUACCUCUUCCCCCAUAGAGGUAAUAAGGUAUUUAUGUUCUAUUUUGCUUGUCAAUUCUGUUCUCUCGUUUGCGAGUUUCAUCUCAUAUUUUUCUUUUAUUAUUUGCUUCCAUAAGUUCCAAACAGAUGUCGAGACUUUUCUUCAUUGGUAGGUCCUGUAUUUUGUUCAUUAAGGGGUGUUGGUAGAAGGGGAGAGGGGAAGAGAGACCAUUACAUAAAUGAAUGGUAGAUUGCAUUCAUUCUUAUAAGCAUCUAAACCCAAAACCUUGAGCUAGUUGGUAGUAGGUAGAAAAGCGCUUGUAUUUUAAGCCAACUAUAGGAUCCUGGUCUUGCCAUUGUGGACUACAGACUACUGCCAACAGAAAUGGCAAUUUCACCCUGUCAAGGCAGAAUUUAUCCCCACCAAAGUUACUUGAGAGGGAUGAGUUGAGGCAUUCCUGCCCUGCCUUGUCUCAUUGUACGCCAAUUUUAAAAGGUAUUUUCCAUAUAUUUUGAAUAUGUGCAUGCAUCCUCUAAUGAUAAUAUAUGAUUAUAUAUUUUUUAAAAUUUAAAUAACUUAUAUUUUAAAAAAAAUUUGCAUCUUGAAGUUUCAAGCAUGCUACUGCAUAUUCUUUUGAAAAUAAUGUUAGCAUAUAGUGAUCAUUUGAGCAUUUUUAAGGAGGCCUUCUCUUGUAAGCUUGAGGGUAUCUAUUUGUAUUUUUAGGUGCUAAACUAACAGUGAAGGAACGGAUAGGUUAUCAAGUUUAGUUUUGCUGGCAAUGUUCACUGUGGUAUUGACACAUAGCAUCUGUGGUCCUGUAUUUUUAUAUGAUUACUUUGUGGAAUCAAUUUGAAUUAGGGGCUUGAUCAAAUUGUUUAACUCUGCUUUAGAUGUAGGCGUGUCAGACUUUUUGACCAAACACAGAAGUAGUAGUAGCGUUUGUUGUUACCUUGUAUUUGUAUUGAUAAAAUGUUCUAGUUCUAGACUUUUUGAAUGUUUUGAGGAACUCAAAGUUUAUCAUAAAAUUAACGAUAGAUAAUUGGAGUCUAACUGUUUAAAUUUGCUAGGCUAAAGUUAAGAAUGCAAGGCUUAUGCUAUUUUACUUGAAAACAAUCAAUGAAAAAUUGAUUAUAGUUAGCCCAAUCAAUCUGAGUUCAAAGUUUUGUCAGUGUAUCAGGUAGGAUCCAGAUUAAUAGAUAGAAGCGUAUGAAACUUUGAUACAUCCUUCAAACAUCAUAAAACAGGCAAACAAUGAAGUUAUGCUGCACAAAAAGAAUGGCAGGGCGAAGAAAUCCUUCGUUCUAAAAACUGUGUGCUGUGUCUUUUAGUCUGUCUUCUUAUUAGAUUGGCAAUCAUUUCAUGUGAUUGCCCUGGGCAUGGAUCCUGAUUACUGUACUCUCUCUGUCCAACAACUUGACAAAGGCCACUGGACAGCUCAGUCUAUUCUCUCAAUGCUUUCCCUUGUCUAUUGUCAUGGUGCAUUGUUUUGAUUGGAAUUCAUGAAGUGCAAGUUCAAUUACAUAUAUUUCAAGUGAGAUUCUCUCUAAAAUGAGAAUCAAGGUUGAUGAUGUCUCCGGGAGAGGUCUUUGUAAUCGAUAUAAUUGUUUUUGUUGAUCAAUUAUAUUUUGCCAAUGAAAGUUCUCUGUUUUUCCCAUUGCCAAAG